rnacentral:rRNA from 1 species
UACGUAGGGGACCAAGCGUUGUUCGGAUUUACUGGGCGUAAAGGGCGCGUAGGCGGCGCUGUAAAGUCACUUGUGAAAUCUCCGGGCUUAACUCGGAACGGUCAAGUGAUACUGCAGUGCUAGAGUGCAGAAAGGGCAAUCGGAAUUCUUGGUGUAGCGGUGAAAUGCGUAGAUAUCAAGAGGAACACCUGAGGCGAAGGCGGGUUGCUAGGCUGACACUGACGCUGACAGCGCGAAAGCCAGGGGAGCAAACGGG